AAGUCGUAACAAGGUUUCCGUAGGUGAACCUGCGGAAGGAUCAUUACAGAGUUCAUGCCCUCCGGGGUAGAUCUCCCACCCUUGUGUAUCAUUAUUGAUCGUUGCUUUGGCGGGCCGCAGGCCUAGCUUGCCCAGGCUUUUGCCCGGUUGCGCCCGCCAGAGGACCCCUAAACUCUGAAUGUUAGUGUCGUCUGAGUACUAUUAAAUAGUUAAAACUUUCAACAACGGAUCUCUUGGUUCUG
rnacentral:misc_RNA from 1 species